UACGGGGGGAGCAAGCGUUGUUCGGAUUUACUGGGCGUAAAGGGCGCGUAGGCGGUCGUGACAAGUCACUUGUGAAAUCUCCGAGCUUAACUCGGAAAGGUCAAGUGAUACUGUCGGACUAGAGUACAGAAGGGGCAAUUGGAAUUCUCGGUGUAGCGGUGAAAUGCGUAGAUAUCGAGAGGAACACCUGCGGCGAAGGCGGGUUGCUGGGCUGAUACUGACGCUGAGGCGCGAAAGCUAGGGGAGCAAACGGG
rnacentral:rRNA from 1 species